UACAGAGGGUGCAAGCGUUGUUCGGAAUUAUUGGGCGUAAAGCGCGUGUAGGCGGCUUUGCAAGUCGGGUGUGAAAGCCCUCAGCUUAACUGAGGAAGUGCGCCCGAAACUGCAUGGCUUGAGUACCGGAGAGGAUGGUGGAAUUCCCCAAGUAGAGGUGAAAUUCGUAGAUAUGGGGAGGAACACCGGUGGCGAAGGCGACCAUCUGGACGGAUACUGACGCUGAGACGCGAAAGCGUGGGUAGCAAACAGG
rnacentral:rRNA from 1 species